UACGAAGGGGGCUAGCGUUGUUCGGAAUUACUGGGCGUAAAGCGCACGUAGGCGGGUCGUUAAGUCAGGGGUGAAAUCCCAGAGCUCAACUCUGGAACUGCCUUUGAUACUGGCGACCUAGAGUUCGGAAGAGGUUAGUGGAAUUCCCAGUGUAGAGGUGAAAUUCGUAGAUAUUGGGAAGAACACCAGUGGCGAAGGCGGCUAACUGGUCCGAUACUGACGCUGAGGUGCGAAAGCGUGGGGGAGCAAACAGG
rnacentral:rRNA from 1 species